rnacentral:rRNA from 1 species
UACAGAGGGGGCAAGCGUUAUUCGGAAUUAUUGGGCGUAAAGGGCGCGUAGGCGGCUUUGCAAGUGACGGGUGAAAUCCCUCGGCUUAACCGGGGAACUGCGUCUGAUACUGGAUGGCUUGAGUUCGGGAGAGGGAUGCGGAAUUCCAGGUGUAGCGGUGAAAUGCGUAGAUAUCUGGAGGAACACCGGUGGCGAAGGCGGCAUCCUGGACCGAUACUGACGCUGAGGAGCGAAAGCCAGGGGAGCAAACGGG